UUUUCGGAGAGGAAGAUCAAAUUGAUGGAAAUAUAGUGAAGAGUGAUUUCAGUCCCCGGUUGGAACAUCAAUUUGGUGAUGAAAUUUCACAUUUGACUAUCGAAAUGGGAGGAAGCCCGUCAUUAUGAAAUGGAUGCAAUAAGGAAGAAAGAGAAUUAAGUGUAGAAUGUAUUAGAAGAAUUCAG